rnacentral:rRNA from 1 species
GUCGAAUCUGCUCAAUGAAUUUAUUUAAAUAGCUGCAGUAUAUUGACUGUACUAAGGUAGCAUAAUCAAUUGUCUUUUAAUUGAAGAAUGGAAUGAAAGAAUUAAUGAAAUAUAUACUGUCUCAAUUAUAAAUAAUUAAUUUAACUUUUUAGUUAAAAUGCUGAAAUUAAAUUAUGGGACGAUAAGACCCUAUAGAAUUUUAUAUUAAUUUAAUAAUAAUUAAUUAAUUGUUUAAUUACUAUUAUUAAAUUAAUAUUUAAUUGGGAGGAUUUAUAAAUUUCAUAAAUUUUAUAUAAUUAUUAAACUUUGAUUUAAGAAUAUAUAAAUUUGAUAUAAUAAUAUUAAUUAAAAAAAUAAAUUACCUUAGGGAUAACAGCGUAAUAUAAUGUUAAAGAACAAAUUAAUAAAGAUGAUUGCGACCUCGAUGUUGAAUUAAUAUAAAUUUUAAAUGUAGAAAUUUAAAAAUUAAGUCUCUUCGAUUUUUAAAGUCUUACAUUAUUUGAGUUC